rnacentral:rRNA from 1 species
GAUGAACGCUGGCGGCGUGCCUAAUACAUGCAAGUCGAGCAAACGGACGAGAAGCUUGCUUUUCUGAUGUUAGCGGCGGACGGGUGAGUAACACGUGGAUAACCUACCUAUAAGACUGGGAUAACUUCGGGAAACCGGAGCUAAUACCGGAUAAUAUUUUGAACCGCAUGGUUCAAAAGUGAAAGACGGUCUUGCUGUCACUUAUAGAUGGAUCCGCGCUGCAUUAGCUAGUUGGUAAGGUAACGGCUUACCAAGGCAACGAUGCAUAGCCGACCUGAGAGGGUGAUCGGCCACACUGGAACUGAGACACGGUCCAGACUCCUACGGGAGGCAGCAGUAGGGAAUCUUCCGCAAUGGGCGAAAGCCUGACGGAGCAACGCCGCGUGAGUGAUGAAGGUCUUCGGAUCGUAAAACUCUGUUAUUAGGGAAGAACAUAUGUGUAAGUAACUGUGCACAUCUUGACGGUACCUAAUCAGAAAGCCACGGCUAACUACGUG